rnacentral:rRNA from 1 species
UACGGGGGGGGGCAAGCGUUGUUCGGAAUUACUGGGCGUAAAGGGCGCGUAGGCGGCCUUCUAAGUCGGACGUGAAAUCCCUCGGCUUAACCGAGGAACUGCGUCCGAUACUGAAAGGCUUGAAUCCGGGAGAGGGAUGUGGAAUUCCAGGUGUAGCGGUGAAAUGCGCAGAUAUCAGGAAGAACACCCGUGGCGAAGGCGGCUCUCUGGGACGGUACUGACGCUGAGACGCGAAAGCGUGGGGAGCGAACAGG